rnacentral:rRNA from 1 species
UGGGGGGGGGGGCCCCCNNCNCCUAUCUGCAGAGUUUGAUCAUGGCUCAGGAUGAACGCUGGCGGCGUGNNAAANACAUGCAAGUCGAACGAUGAUCCGGUGCUUGCGCCGGGGAUUAGUGGCGAACGGGUGAGUAACACGUGAGUAACCUGCCCUUGACUCUGGGAUAAGCCUGGGAAACUGGGUCUAAUACCGGAUAUGACUCCUCAUCGCAUGGUGGGGGGUGGAAAGCUUUUUGUGGUUUUGGAUGGACUNNCGGCCUAUCAGCUUGUUGGUGGGGUAAUG